rnacentral:rRNA from 1 species
CGUUGUUCGGAAUUACUGGGCGUAAAGGGCUCGUAGGCGGCCAACUAAGUCAGACGUGAAAUCCCUCGGCUUAACCGGGGAACUGCGUCUGAUACUGGAUGGCUUGAAUUCGGGAGAGGGAUGCGGAAUUCCAGGUGUAGCGGUGAAAUGCGUAGAUAUCUGGAGGAACACCGGUGGCGAAGGCGGCAUCCUGGACCAACACUGACGCUGAGUGAGCGAAAGCCAGGGGAGCAAACGGG